rnacentral:rRNA from 1 species
AUUGAACGCUGGCGGCAGGCCUAACACAUGCAAGUCGAACGAGUGGCGGACGGGUGAGUAAUGUAUGGGAAACUGCCUGAUGGAGGGGGAUAACUAAUGGAAACGGUAGCUAAUACCGCAUACCAUCAGAUGUGCCCAGAUGGGAUUAGCUAGUUGGUGGGGUAACGGUUCACCAAGGCGACGAUCCCUAGCUGGUCUGAGAGGAUGACCAGCCACACGGGAACUGAGACCCGGUCCAGACUCCUGCGGUAGGCAGCAGUGGGGAAUGUUGCACAUUGGGCGCAAUCCUGAUGCAUCCAUGCCGCUUGUAUUACGAAGGCCUUCGGGUUGUAAAGUACUUUCAGCGGGGAGGCGUUACCCGCAGAAGAAGCACCGGCUAACUCCGUGCCAGCAGCCGCGGUAAUAC